ensembl:lncRNA
CAAAGUCAUAAACAUAGUUUAUUAUUUAAUCACAGCUUUGUUCCGGCAGUUAAAGCACAGAAAAGUACAACUGUAUGUAUUCUAUUUUCAUCUUCUAGUUCCACUCAGUAUGGAGUCACACACCAAACUCCUUCUCCUGGCAGCCACUUUCCUGUUGAAUCAUAUGUUCUUUGAAAUGAGCUGACCAGCAUCAUCACAUGAUUUACAGACCAACGGGCACCAAAGCUUCCCGGUCCGGGAAGAAAGAAGAGCGGAUAAAGAGGAAUCUCGGCUUCUUGCAAACUCCACAGCUUCAGUUCCAGCGUUUAUGAAAGAAAAAUGGCACUAAACCAUCUUUAGCAGCAGAUGCAUAUUUACCAUUUAUUGCUAUAAUCCAUCAGGUGUACAUCCAACAGUGUUUCCUCGCUUUCCACACACUCACACACACCUGCAUCCAUCGUCACACUAACAAAUAAGGGCAGCAAUACAGUUUUUCAACAAACUGUAGGCUCUUUCUUAACAUAUUUAAAAAAAACCAAAACAAAACAAAAAAGCUCCCCAGGAUAAAAACUGUAACAGACCCUGGGCCCCGUUUUCUUUUGUGGACUACAAAAUGGAAAAGGAGUGAAUAUCAGUGUUUCAGGACUCCUAUACACCUUUGACAUUAAAGCAGAGCCCUUCCCUUGGAUUCUUUAAAGGUGGGGUAAAGAAAGGAAAAGGCAGGGAAGGGAAACCCGGUUCAGGUCGGGCUUGAGGCCAGGCACAGUGAUUUAGGCAGCUUGGCAGUUCAUUCUAAAGAUGCCGGUUAUAGAAACCUGCCCAAUACAGGAUCCUCAUCCUUUGGGAUACAACUUAAUUUUUUUUUUAUCCUAUUAAGUGAUCUUUGAUGUGGAUUGCAUUUAAACAACAUUAAUAUUUGUUCUAGUUCAAAAUGACCAGAGGAAUUGUAGUUAAAAUACAGCACUGUGUUAUAAUAACCCUGUUUGAGUCCCAAUAAAACUGAUUAGCACACCUAUUUUAACAGCAGGUGAAAUGUCACGUUAAGCAAUAAAAUCAUAUAGAGUACAACUGAUUCUGUUGUAUUUAAAGCACACUUUGUCGAGCGUUCAUGACCAGAACAGCCCACACCAGUCACUCACUGGUUAAAAGAUGUUACAACUUGCAUUACUAAAAAAACCAAAACUGUAAUUUCCUCUUCCAGUUGAUUAAAAUCACCUCUUUCAUAGACCUGUUUCAGUGUUCUGUUGAAAGACUUUUCUGUUCAUUUCCAAUUUGACACAAAGACCCAACGGUCUCCUGGCCUCGGUCCCCGACUUUUGCUCUGUCUUCGCAUUACGCAGUGCCAAUCCACGCAGAGCUGCCCUUCUCUGGACUCGGCUUCCCCCAACACAUCCCGUAUGCACACACCUGCACACCGCAAACAGAGACCACAUCAGUAGAGCCUAACUACAUCACAG